rnacentral:ncRNA from 2 species
UCAGAGUUGUGCCGCAUCGAUGUUAUGGGAAGUCCGGUGAGAUUCCGGGGCGGGCCCGCCACUGUAAGUCUGACGAAGCUGCCGUGCCACUGAGCGUUUCGGGAAGGGGCAGCCGAGGGUGAAGACGAGCCAGGAGACCGAUCCAUGCGGCAUAGUGCAG